UACGUAGGGGGCCAGCGUUGUCCGGACUUACUGGGCGUAAAGCGUGCGCAGGCGGCUAUGCAAGACAGAUGUGAAAUCCCCGGGCUCAACCUGGGAACUGCAUUUGUGACUGCAUGGCUAGAGUACGGUAGAGGGGGAUGGAAUUCCGCGUGUAGCAGUGAAAUGCGUAGAUAUGCGGAGGAACACCGAUGGCGAAGGCAAUCCCCUGGACCUGUACUGACGCUCAUGCACGAAAGCGUGGGGAGCAAACAGG
rnacentral:rRNA from 1 species